UGCAGGUAUCGAUGGAGGUGGGGCCUCGGUCACGCCCUUGGUCAUCCACGAUGGCAUUGUGGUGCCACGACCGCGUCCUGCAGGUCCUGCAGGUCCUCGCGCUUCCUCCGGGGCAGCUGAUGACUCAGCACUUUCAGAGGUGCCCGCAGUCAUCCAGGCUGGGACGGCAGCAGCUUUCCCUCGGCCGGCGGGU
rnacentral:SRP_RNA from 8 species